ACUUCCACGCCUUCCAAUCUGUAGCAGCUGAUUGUGCCCUGAUGAUGAUGAAUCUCUGAGCGAAGUUUUUGGCUGAUCGCACAUUGAAAUGGCAAAACAAUCAUGCAUUUGAAAAAAGCGAUGCAUCGAAGAAAAACUUUCAUGUAUGAAAAUGAACUAUAAAAGGGAACACUGUAAUUGCUUAUUAAUUAAUCAGAUAAUAAUCAUUUAUUCGAAUAGGAAAGGAGGCGUAUAGCCUAUAAACUUGCAAAGUACAGAAAAAGAACGAAAAUAUUGUGCGUUACGAAAAGGAACGACAUAUGAACAAGGAGAGCCAAAACUAAAAUAAUCGAAACCAAACAAACCCUGGACUAGCAUACACAUCACCCGUGGAAUGAAACAUUGUAUCUAUAAUAAGGAUCCAAAACCCCUAAGUUUGUUUAUAAGUGAAGAUCAAAAAUUUCAGCCCUCAGCUCUCAACAAGGGGGGAUAUUUAUUGAAAAUUACCAAAGUCAGGUAGCAGAACGAAUCGGUUAGUACCUACAUUUUUCAGUCAACCCCUGAAUUUCGAAGAGUGAAGUUCCUAAUUCUCAAAUUGUUAGUUAUACUUUUAAAGUUGAAAAUUGGCGUUAUACAAAAAUCAAAAUGUCUGCUCAAAUACCAAUACAAAGUUCUUGGGAGGAGUUCAUACUGCCGACAAGGAUUGCCUUCUUGAGUCAAGAAAAAUUAAACAAAUUGAGAAAAUAGAGUUACCUACGUAAGAUGGUGAUCAUUCACGAUUUAAUUCGAAAUAAUCAGAGUGUGCUGGAUCGUUUAAAAGAUCUGAGGUUCUAUACAGGCAGUCAUUCAGCGAAUCUGAGAAGAACAUCAGAAAUUCUUGAUUUCAAAUUGACUAAGGCGUUAUAUAUUAAGAGAAUAUUGGAAAUUACUGUCCGCGGAAAGAAAAUACUGCACAUGGAAUUAUCCGAAUUUCAGUGCUUAGUUCAUUCGAUGCUCCAGAAAAAAAAUCAUGAACGACCUCGAGUAGGUUGUAUAAAAUUAUUGUUCUAUCCUCAUUCAUAUGAUAAAUAUGAAACUGCGCGUGUUUGAUAGUUUGUUUGUAUAUUUCUCUUUCCAUAACGCCCAGGGCGAUAUCGGAUUUUGAUGGGAAUUUCACUAUAGUGUAGAGAAUUUAUCAGAUUAGGUUUCAGUGUUACAUUCAUUCUUAUAUGGAGAUAUUCAUAUAUGAAAAAAUAUAAUUUGAAAUUAAAUAAAAGUUGAAAUUAAAUAAAAUUUGAAAUUCAAUAAAAUUUCUUUGAAAAAGUC